CAAGCCCAUGGUGGGUGGUGCUAUCCCUGGGCUUGAGGUCCUGGGUUCUAUAAGAAAGGAGGCUUAGAAAGCCAUGGGGAACAAGCCAAUAAGAAGUAUCCUUCAUGGCCUCUGCAUCAGCUCCUGCCUCCAGGUUCCUGUCCUAUUGGAGUUUCUGUCCUGACUUUCUUCAGUGAUGAACACCAAUAUGGAAGUGUAAGUGAAAUAAACCGUUUCCCACCCUUAAAAAAAAAGAGCAAAAGCUUGAAGGAACAAUUACAACUAGAAUUUUAAAAAUAUAUAAAAUAAAACUUAAACUGGACUCCACUCCUUACUUCCUUCUAGAUACUGAGACCGGAGGGCCAGCGUUCCAGGUCACUCCCAUGACUGUCAAGUCCACGGCAGAGGGACACUGAUAACCACAGACUGAAAACCUCAGCAACUCAACCUACAAGAAGAUUACUUCACUGAUGGUGCUGCCACCCUCAUCAUCAGACCUUCAUGAACCUCUAAACCCCUCUGCUUUGGGAACCCGGCCUUGACGAGGGUAUGUGUCACACCUAACGCAUAGUAGAGCUCAGCUAACACUGGUUGAACUAAAUGGAGCAGUUAGUUGUGUGAUGCUGAAUGAGUCCCUGAGCCAAGUCUCAGUUUCUUCAGCCAUAGGAUGAGUCUCAGUAAUCCGACCAAUCUCAGAAGAACCCAGCAGGUGUUUUAAGUGCUCAGUUGAGGUUUCCAUCUUUUGUUCAUCCUAGCGCAGCAGGUGGCCUGCUAUUGUGUGUGUGUGUGUGUGUGUGUGUGUGUGUGUGUGUGUGUGUGUGUGUGUGUGUGUGGUUGUAAAUGCUAGGUAAAAGUUCUAACGUUGACUCACAUAGUCCUACUGGAUAUGACGCCCUCUUGUGGCAUUUUCAGGCACUGCACAUAUGUGGUACCCAGACGUACAUAAAAUAAAUACAAAAAAGGGAAUUUUUUAUUAAGGUAUUAACAGAGAUAGCAAGGCACAGAAGGUCUGAAUCCAGGUCACCAUGUGCAGAACUGUUUCUAGGAUGGCUGUACCCUUACCUGUUUUGAGAUCUGAUCCUGGAGAGAUGGGGCUAGCUUUGCAGAACAAACAAACAAAAAAAUCGUCCGAUGGGAUCACAUCCUCUCAUGCCCCAGCAUGUAUCCUCCCCGGCCUCCAAGCUAGAGGAGGAGGAGGCCAUUUCAAGAAACUCUUGUGUUGAGUGGAGUCCAUAUACCCUGAGUGUUUCUGGGCAAGGGACUACACAGGACUUCCCAGCGCCCAGUGUAGUUUAGUGUGGACUACUAUGGGCUCUGUUUAGUGGCGUCAUCUAGAGGAGGCCGGAUGUGCCAUGGCCUCCUUUGGCUCUGCUGUAUUUUGAGUUACAUAGUGUAAAAUGGCAAACAGCAGCUACAACUGCAGUCCAGACCAGUUGCAGAGCCUCAUAGUUGGCAGCCUUCCAAGCCACUGCCAUGUGGGUUAGUUAGAGCACUAUCCCUAACACAGAAUGUAGGUUGUCUCCAAAUCCACAGGUCUGCGAAGGCCCCAUGCCUCUUUCUCUGUGGCAGGUGUAACAUGCAAUAGCUUGAGCUUCAUUUUGAAGGCCACGCUUCAGGACGCUUCAGACCACUAGGAACGCCGUCAACGGGGCAGGCCGACAAGUCCAUCUAGGGUUUCUUUCCCACUGUCAACCACCUCUGUGGCUUACUGUGCAUCCAGUCAUUGCCACUUCUUGCACUGUGGGUCUCAUGUGCAUAGUGACAUUCGUCCAGUGGGAGCUUUGAGACACCGUGGAACAUCAAGAGACUCAAAUGUCCCACGGAUCAUACCAGGAUGGAGAAGAGAGAGUCAAAGUAAUCCUCACGCUAGAUAGUAAAUGGGCACCACUGCCUUUCCCGUGUGAAAGUGAGCGAUUUUUUCUUUUCCCCUAUGGGUGAAACUUGAGAAGAAAAUAUUUACCAAUUAGUAGACUUGCAAACAAUUGCCAUCUGUAUUGUUGGCUUCCCAUCACUAUAACACAAUACCUGAGGUAAUCAUGCAAUAAGGGGAUUAAUCGUAGAUCAUUAUUUCUGAGGCUUCAGUUCCAAUCUCUCAUCCCUGUUGCUUGGACCUGUGAUGAGGUAGAAUGCAUGGCACCAAAUGUAUAGUCAAGGAAGCCACUCACCUCCCAGCAUCCAGGAAACCCAAAAAGAGAGGGGAAGGACCCGGGGUCCCAAUAUCCUCUUGAAGGGCACCCCACUAGUGACCUAACUUCCUCCUACAUAGCUAAACUUCUUGAAAAUCCAACCGCCUUCUAACAGCACCACAGGCUAAGGACCAAGUCACUAAUGUCUGGAUCUUUGGGGAGGCAUUCAACAUCCAAGCCAUGAUACCAACGAAAGUGAGCUCCUUUUCGUCCUACUUGAUGGAAAUUAAGAAGA
ensembl:lncRNA